CCCCCAUUCCUCUCUCUUUCUUUGUUCUUUUUUUCUUUUUAAUAAUUUAAAGUAUACUUUAUACUCCCAUGUCUUUCCACUUAGCCGCAAGCCCACAAUCAUUCUCUUCAUCUCUCCAGAUUCUCCUCUUCCUCCUCUUUCUUCUUCACUUCAUCGUAGCAGCUAGUGAAAAGAAUAGUUUCGGCAAAAGUCUCUCUCUCUCCAGUCCCAAACUUUGAAACCCAGCAAAUUUUUUUCUUUAAAUUGGUUGCAACGUUUACUCAAUUUCAGAUUUUCAGGUGAAGUUGGAUUUGCAAGUCAAUCUCCAUCAGCAAAGAAAAAAGAAGAAGGAAAAAAAAUUAUUCCAGAUUUCCAGGUGUACCCUCAAUCCCCGGUUUGAACGAUCCCUAUUUACCAUAUGCUAACGAUGACAUUUUACAAGAUCCUCUAUGAAUGACCGAGCCUUAUAGUCAUACCCCACUCUCUGAGAUCACUGCAAGGAUCGAAAGACUUAAGAACCCUAAUUAUUGGGGCCCUUCACAAAGUCCUUAGAAAUCUUUGCAACUCGAGCCACACGAGGAGGAAUCUGAAGGAUCGACAUCUCCACCACCACAAGAGUUAUCUGAAGAAGAACAAGAAGACGAGAAAAUGAGCUUAAACGCAAAUCAAUCCAUUAGGGAACUGUCCUCAUCCGUGGUUCAAGGAGGACUUCCUACGAGCAUUGUGUACCCAGCUGCUACUGAAGGGAGGACUGCAGAUUUUGAGCUGAAGAGUGGAUUAUUACAUAGGCUCCCUGUGUUCCAUGGCCUUAGUGUGGAGGACGCUAAUAAGCAUCUCCGAGAAUUUCAGUAUGUAUGUACAACCAUGCACCCACAAGGAGCUGAUGAGAAUAUCCUAAAGUUGAAGGCCUUCCCUUUCUCCCUAGCUGACAGAGCCAAAGAUUGGCUAUAUGAGCUUCCCCCUGGGCACAUCACAUCAUGGGACGCCAUGAUGAAAGUUUCUUGGAAAAAUACUUCCCAACUUCAAAGGUCAUUAUGCUCAGGAAGAAGAUAAGUGGAAUUGAGCAAGCCCCAGAUGAGUCCUAUGCCGCUUAUUAUGAGAGGUUCAAGUCCCUACUUGCCCAAUGUCCUCAACACCAAAUGAAGGACGAUAACCUACUCACAUGCUUCUACGAAUGACUCUUGCCCUUAGAAAUGCAAAUGCUUGAUGCUGCAGCUGGAAGAGCCUUUGUUGACAAAUCCCCUGCUGCUGGGAAAGAAUUGAUAGCUAAUCGUGCCCUAAAUGCCCAACAGAAUGAGGGUGUGAGACAAACCACUCGUAGGGUAAAUGAGGUAAGCACUAGUGCUGCUAUUGAGGGUAAAUUGAAUAAACUCACCCUUCUUGUGAAUCAGGUUGUGAGCACUCAAGGACAAGGAGGAGCCUAUGCUUGUGGGGUAUGCUCUAACCAAGGACACCAUACAAAUCAAUGUCCUCAACUAAUUGAGAAUGGUGGGUGGGAGUCUGUGAACGCCAUAGGAGGAUACCAAGGAAGUCAAGGGGUGCCCCAAAGUCCCAGGUAUGACCCAUAUUCAAAUACCUAUAACCCUGGACGGAGGGAUCACCCCAACUUCAGAUGGACCAAUAAUGACAACAUUCAGAACCCUCUUUGUGGCAGUUUCCAACGUCCUCCAGACUUCUUUCAGAAGCCUCAGGUCCCUCAAAACUUUGCUUCUAAUUCAAAUAAUUUUUCCAAUCCUAAUUAUGAUAAGAUUAUUGAGGCACUAACCAAUUCCACUCAAGCCUUGGUUCAAGGGCAACAGAACCAUACCAAGGACAUUGCAGACCUCAAGAAGCAAAUGGGACAAGUGGUGGACUUCAUGACCAAGUUUCACGAAACUGGUAAGCUUCCGAGCAACACAAUUCCAAACCCAAACGGAGGCUUUGAAGGCCCAACCAACUGAGGAUAAGAGGAAACCACGUCUAGGCUGAGAAGACGUUAAAAACAAGCGCUAUUUGGGAGGCAACCCAAUCCAAUCAGAUUUGCUUUCUUUAUCCUUAUCUUUUAUUUUUCAAUUUUGCUUAUUUGUUUUAGUAUUUAUUUUCGUAAAUUCCAUUCCUAUAUGCUUAAUAGUUCCAUUGCAUGUUUACGAUUGAUUACAUUGAGGACAAUGCAAUAUUUAAGUGUGGGGGAAUGGAUUUAUACUUUUGUCUUGAGUCAUAUAUAUUGAAAAAUACAAAAAAAUCGAAAAAAUGUCAAAUUCCCCCAUACUUAGUUUGUGCUAGUCCUUUAGCAAAAUCAAUAUAACAAAACUAAACUAAAACCACAGAAAACAACUAAGUAUAGAAAACACAAAACACAAAAACAAAUCAUAAAACACCAAGAAGACUAAAGAGAACACGCAAAUGUUGAAGACAGCAAGACUUAAAAAUGUCGACUCACAAAAAGACUACUACACCCUUUAGUAUAUUUUCUCAGAAAUCUCAUACAUUCAAGGCACAAAGAUUAGCACUCAACCAAGAAUCAAGAUAUUCAAGAGCUAAUUGAAACAUGUGAUCCACAUAUACAUAAGUAGGACUUGGUUGUAACAAUGGUGAUGGGAUGGAGCUCAACAUGUUUCAGACAAAUAUGAUUCAUAUUCUCACAAGGUAUAUCCACUAUUUCUUGUCUCAUAUCAAGGCAAUGCUUAAAAGCUUAUAAUCACUCAAUUAUAUGUGAGAGAAAAUAUUUUGAGGCAAUCAAAUAGCUCACAUAUAUAAGAAACGAAAGCACUUUGUGAAUAUAAUUUUUUUUUUUUCAAAAGAUCUCAUGAAAGAUAUCAACUACUUGCACAAAUAGACCCAAGCCAUAGGUUCAACUCUUAUAACUCAUCUCCACAGAUCAAAGGCUGUCCCAUCUUAAGGAUCAUAAAGGUCUUAUAAAGGGUUCUAAUAUGGGCCAAGACUCAAAGUUUUAAGAAACGAAGACUAAGGAGUUAACAAAGUAUCCUAAAAACCUAGUAGAGCUCAUGUUGAUGUAGAGAGACUUCUAGAAAUCCAUCAAGGCAUGCAAAACGUCACUCAUACAGAGGCAAAAUAAAAGGGCCUAAUGUCUUCAUGUUGGGCCCAACCUUCAUUUUAAACUUCCCUUGAACUUUUGUGAAUUAGACAAAGACCAAAUUUUUCAAUAACGGGCCUUCAAUUCAAAACAAUCUCUAAACUCACCAAGUAUGGGGGACUAAAAUCUAUAAAUAUAUAUAUAUUUUUUCUUUUUCUUUUCUUUUGCCGUACACAUUUUUUUUUUGCAAUUCUUUUUCAUUUUCUUUUCACAGCUUUCACAUAAUUUUUUAUUUUUCUUUUCAUUGACAUGUCUACCCCCACACUUGAACUUUCACCUCUUCUCAAUCUUCAUCCUUAAUGAUGUAGUAAGUCUUCAAAAGAUAGCUCCAAUAAGUUUUUAGAACGAAGGGUAGGAUUGUAACUAUACUAAAGUUUUGGGGUUAAGGAUUUUUAAGGGUGAUGAAGGAAAAUGCUUACAAUUGUAGGCUCAAAGGGGUUUAUCUAGGGAGGUGCACAUCUUGUAUACACAAUUAGGGACACAGGCUUAUUUGGCAAUGAUGGUAAUUCCUAGGGUGCCUUUAUCCUUUCCAGAAUCAGGGACAUGUAUUGAUAAAAGUCUCAACAAGCAUAAGAGUGAAUUCUAGCAUUAUUUAUUCCAUUAAACUUAAUCUCUGGCAAGCAAUCAAUCAAAUGAAAGAAUAAUGAGAUCAUCAAACAUCGUCAAGAAAAUAAGAAUAUAUUUUCCAUCUAUCACUACAAGAAAAAGGGACAUGGGCUCAAAUAUCUCACAUGGGCUUUUAUGAAUCAAAAUUCAUCUUAACAUGCUCAUAAUCUGUACCAAGGUCACGAAAUCCAAAUCCACUACUCAUGCACAUAUUUUUCAUAUAUCUCAAUUAACCAAAGAAUACCAUUUAAAAUCAUCUCAAUAUUAUGAUCCUCUUUUAGCCAUAAUUUCAGAGAUAUAGAAUCAUCCUAGACAGUUGAAAUGGCAUCCUAUGACUCAAAAAUAAAAACAAAGGACUAAGACUGACGCCAAAAAGGUUUUGGACUAGAGCUAUUUCCUUUCUCCUUUCAGUAACUCUUUGGGACGUGACCAAGUAAGGAGGGGACUAAUUUUGGAAGAGCUCAGCUCACUUGAUUUUGGAAGCACAUUUUUCGAUUUUUUUGUAUUUUUCAAUAUAUAUGACUCAAGACAAAAGUAUAAAUCCCUUCCCCCACACUUAAAUAUUGCAUUGUCCUCAAUGUAAUCAAUCGUAAACAUGCAAUGGAACUAUUAAGCAUAUAGGAAUGGAAUUUACGAAAA